rnacentral:lncRNA from 1 species
UACCCUUACUUCAGCUCGGGCCCUGCCCCAGCCGUUCCACACCAUCAUCCUCUAGGAUAUAGACCUCUCUUCUAUGGAUUAAGGUUGCUAGGACCUAGCUGCAUCUGUUGUUGACCUAACACCUGAAGCCCAUGUCUGAGGGUGUUUGGUAUGUGGACACAUAUGUGUGCAGGUGCAUGCAUGUAGAGGCCAGGUGAGCAUGCCAGGUGUCCUGCCUUAUCUCAGUUCACCCCGUUCUCCUGGAACAGGAGCUCAGCCAGACCCUGAAGCCAGAUUCAGCAGAAAGACCCAGUGCCUCUCCUGUGCUGAGGUUACAGGUCCGUGCUUACUUUUCAAGUGGGUAACGGGUUUUGAACUUGGCUUCCCAUGCUUGGCCUUCCCUGCUGAACAACCCUGCUCAUCCUUCAAGCCUCUGAUUCCAAAGCUGGGCUGACUCCUUGAGACACUGCAAAAAAAAAAAAAAAAAAAAAAAAAAAAAGCCCAGCCCAGCCUUGUGCCAGAUGCAGCAGCAUCCUAGAUUUUGACUCUUCAGCCUGAAACAAACCAUCCCCCACUCUAGCUAGAGGUUUCCAUAUUAGAGCCAACUGCCAAGCAUGGAAAAUUCUGAUGAAACCAAGUCAAAUCCCCGUCUCCGGCCAGAAAUCUUAAAUAUGUUAGGGCUAAAAUCUUCAGAAUUUAGACAUUCACCAGAACCAAGAGGCACCAAAUGGCCAGCACGAGGCUUGGAAUCCCCACACACCCUUUUUUUUUUUUUUUUUUUUUAAAUUUCCGAGAGCUACAUAGCAGGCAGCUUUCAAGAAACACUGUCUCAGCUGAACCCAGACACUUCCUCCUGUUUAGAUUGGACUCUGAGGGAAGGUUGGGGGCAAGAUUCCUUGGGAAGCCUGCUUUCUCUUCAGGAAUGUAAUGGAAUUCAAGGGUAAUCCUUAAAGGCAAGGGCAGCCAUUUGUAAAGGAGAAAGGAGAAAAGGAAAGGAUGCUAAGGGGACCUCCUCCGAGGCUGCCAUUAAAACAACAGCCACAGCACAAAGAACCCAGGAAAAGAGGAAGAAGCCCCUUCUGAGCCCCCUUUGUUUGUAAAUGUGUAAACAGACCCGCUAAAGCAAAUCCCGGAUUCAUAUUCAACUUGAAAAAAACAGGGAGAGACUGUCCACGACAUGCUUAGAAGUUUGAAUACACUUUCAGUAGCUCUUCGUUAUCUCAAAUUAAAUCUUAAAUUGAGCUUGUGGUUCCGUGAAUUAAUACUCGGGCGGGCCUUUCAGCCCGGCUGCUGAGGUCAUUCAAAUCUAAUGGUGGAAAUGGUCACAAGGUCAGGGCUUGGCUGGAAGUGUAUAGAGUGUCUUUAUGAUGCCCAGCAGAUGUUUGCAUCCCACAGCUGGAACUGCCAGGCACUGGGAUGGGGAUGGGGUGGGGGGCGCUCAUCAGGGCGUAGAGGAGGAACUUAUUGCGUGAAUACAGAAUCCUGCCAUAUCCCACCGUCCUGAAACAAGGCAAGCCGUUCCUUAAG